rnacentral:lncRNA from 1 species
UAUGCAUUAAGUAGCAUGGAUGGAUCCUAAAAACUUGAUCUGAGUGGAAAAGCACAAAUAAUAAUUUAUCAAAAUUAAAAGGCAUAUGCAAAAAAACUCAAUAACAUUUAAAAAUAUAUGCAUACACACUGCAUAUAUGUAUUCAUGUUAAUAUUUAUACAUAUAUCAAGGUGAUUGAGGCAGAGGGAAGUAGAGGAUAUAGAUAAAAGAAACUGAGUGAAUGAAUAAAUGAAAAAUAAAUCUAGAGAAAGCUCUUGUUUGAACUAAUUAUAAUAUCCUAGAGCCUGGACACAUAAAAAUAGAAAGAGAGAAGAGAAGAGAGAGAAAGACUGACGCAGAAAGAGAGAAUAGAACAACAUGUUACAGCAAAUUGUUUUCUUUAUACAGAGAGUGCUAGCAUUGGAAUAUGUUAGUAAGAGCAUUGUAAUUGCCCUCAGAGGUUUUAAAAUAUACACUCAUCACACUGCAUUACUGAGUGAAAGCAUCAGGAGCCAAAAAUUGAGAUUUUAGUAACAUUCCUAUUAUUACUCACAAAGCACUUAUGUUUUGCCAGGGAACUGAGAAAACAGUUAAUUUUGUCAGUUUAUGAUGUGCUCCCUAUUUAUUUUCCAGUUGUAUCAAUUGUCCACCACAUGGUAAUUUUUAAGCCUUGUUUUUCUUAGAAUGAAAAUUUCUAAAGAGUUUAAUUUGCUUGAUGUAUAUCUUCAUGUACUCAUUCAACAAAAUUAUAUCUUUAUCUAUUUCUGUCUUCUAUUAUGUGCCAGAAACUACGCUAAGUUCAUCUAUGAAUGUAAAAGACGUCUUAUGAUUAUGGAUUAUGAAGUAUGAAGUACUCCAAAGGGCUGAUUUUAUUUUAAUUUUUAACCAUCAGAGCUUAUCAUGGUUAGCAUUAAAUUUAGUCCUAACGUCUAGAACAAUCAAACCUAUGCUAGCACAUGCAGACUGUUUUAAUUAUACAAUCUCAGCCAAUCAUUUCUGGAAAUAAAAUCAGAGAAAGAUUAAAUUGACUGAAACCCUGAAAGCGAUGACCCUAUGUGCAAGAAAGUUGAUUCCUAUUAAUUAUUCCUCAAGAUGUUUGUCAGCAUUUUGCUUCCAUUUGUGUUCAUCUGUGCAUAUGCUUCUCACCAAAAUGAGUAGCAUAGGAAAAUUUUUUUUUAAAAUGAUAUGUGGUCGAAAAAAUCCCCAACAUUCCUUUCCUUUGUUGUUGUUGACCGACUAAAUCUGGUUCUAAUACAGAGUGGAAUUUCUAAACAUGACCUGGGUCAAGAUGGAAAGCAAAAGUCAACAUAUUUCCCAAGGUAUUAAAACUAUCAGAAUGAAGUUCUAAUAUUUCCUUAAACACACACAAUGCAAAAUGAAUCAAGAUAUGAUGUCAUGCUUUAUUGAAAUAUUUAUUUUCAUUACAAUUCGCACAGUUCUUCAAGGUCAAAAUGACAGUGGUCUUGCUAGAAAAUAUGGGAUUUGAGUUGCAUAAAUCAUUCUCUACUGUUUAGAAAACAGACCAUGAAUUUUUAUGAAUUUGGGACACGACUCUAGGAACUAGAUGGUAUCAAAAUUCAAAGAUAAGUGACAGUAUUUCUUUUUUAAAGGCUUCAUUGGAAAAGUUUAACUUUUGUGGUUAUGUUGGAAAAAAAAAUGCAGAGACCAGUACAGCCUAUCCUUUUUUCUUUUAGAAGUUAUGGAGGCCUUUUUUCAGCCUGACAUCCCCCUACUCUGCCAUUCUACUAAAUUUCCUCUCACAUCUUCUAUACAGCCCCCUCCCACAUACACAGGACAGAAGUGGAACAAGUGGAGAAGAAAAUGAUGAGAGUAAUGCCGAGGGAAGACAGCAGUGUGUUUAACAUCACAAGAUCAGAGGGAGCCCAGAAGCAGAACCUAGAAAAAUCCUUUCACAGCAUGCAAUAUAGAACAAAAAUCCCCAGAAAACUCAAAUACUACUAUUAUCAUGUUUCAAAACAAGAAAGCUAAGAAAGGUGACAAAAGGACCCAAGAAAGGAUGGCUCAUACUUUCAGCCACCUGUGUGUCAGGUGGAAAGUUUUCAUCAAAACCCUUUAAUUCUUCCUUUUGAUGUAUAAGCCCAAUCAAGACAAUAAUCUGUCCUUGAACUAAAAUGAAUCUUCUAUGAUAGACUAUCACUCUCACUGAUAAACAAAGCUUUUAAAGACACAAACUUGCUCUGUAGGUGGCCUUCACUCACUUCAAGAAAGCUUUUGAUUAAAAUAAAAAUGUACAGAGGAACAAAGUCAAAUAAAGGCAUACCAAAAGUUUUACUCAUUUGGGAGAAAUAAACAUGAAAACGAGACCUCUUCAAUAACUCUCUAAAAGUAGAUGAGGUGAUCAAACCAAAUGCUAAGAUAAAAGGAGAAAUAAUAAUUUCCCUUCAACCACCUCAAGAAUUUUCCUUGAGGACAGUAACCAUCAAAGGUCGAACUACCUCUAAGUAGUUCUUUUCUAUACCACUGUCCAGCUUGUUCAAGAACAAAUAUGACCAUCUGCUCAAUGGGCUUGGCUAAGAAAGCUGAAAAGCAAACUAAAGUUAAAGGAAGCUGUGACUUUUGACCUAAUGGAGAUCAAUCCAGCCUCCUCAGAUGAAGAGAGGGAUACUGAUGCAAACAAGUCAAUGAAACCAAAAGCAAGUGAGAAAUGCAAGAACAACGGGAACAAAGGGAAGAAACUGAGGCUGUUUUCAGCAUUAAGGGAAGAAAUUCAAAUGGUAGAUAGAUAUUUGUUCUGGCUCAUAAUUAUAGAAAGCUGUAAUAGAAAUGAAUAUCUUACUGCUUGGUAAAAAUGGAAAUAUAGAAGCACAAGCUACUGGAUAACACAAGAAAAAGCAAUUAUCAUCAUUGUAAAUUUAAUCAUCUAUGAUAUUCUGUUGGGACAGGUUGAGUAUAACAAAACUUUCUGAAGAUGAUGUUCAUAAAGCAAGUUCAUAGGCAUGAUCACUGGAAGCCUUAACAAUUUUUCAAAUUUUUGGGCCAGUAAAAGAAAUUCAAAUCGAGGAUACUAUUAGUAAACUCAGUAUUUAAUUUCUCAAAGAGUUCUAGAAUACUUAAAGAUGUCAGAGAGCAGUGCCAAGUCAUUCAUUUCAAGUUCUUUGAAAGCACAUUGUUUUAAACGUGAACCAUUUGGGAAAGAGAGAGGCUGAAUUUGGUUAGUUACCGUUUUUCUAGGUGAAAUAAAAGAAAUGCAAACUGUAUAUCAGCCAUUAUUUUUAAGCUACUACUGACAGAUUUGAUGGUUUGUGGAGCAAAAAUGUCAUGAUCUCACUUGACUGCAGAGAAGACCCAAAAUAGAAUGCUUUUUUUCAUUUUUAACUUAUCUUUCAAAAAUUUAAUUGAUAAAAAUUAUGGAAAUACUAAAAUGUUAAACAUGUAAAUAAGAUAAAACUUUAAAAACAAUUCAGAAUAUUCUCUUCUCAUCUUGUACUUUAAAAAAACUAACUAUAACAAGAACACAAUGAUCUACUCAAAUUCUUUUACAAUUUAGAUUAUUGGGCCAAUUCUUCAAACCAUAUGCAACCAGCUAGUAACAGUUCUUGACUUGGCUUAGUAGUAGGGGAUUGGUAAGACAAGAAAAAUUAAAAACAAUAUUCAUUACUCAAACCUAUCUAAACAAAUGCUUUUCAUAUUUCUUUUAUCAAGUACAUUUAUUCUUUAAACCAGAAUUGCUAAUACUCAAAGACAUUUAUAAAUUUAUUAACAACUGGGACUCUGUUUUUGAAAGUUAUAUUCCACUGUUGACAGAAUGCUAAGUGCCUGAAGAAAGCGUCAAGAACAUCUAUUAGUGUCCAUAAGGAAACCAUGUAUUGAUGUAUUUAAGUGAUCUUGCUGUUUAGUCACAUAAUUUUAAAGAUUCAGGAUAAAUGAGGUUUGGUUUUGCAUAGUAGAGAAUACAAAUACAAAUGAAUCAUCAGUUAAAAAUGAUUUUUUAAAUAUCCAACUUUUAAACAUUGUUAGCAUUUUUUUCCAGGCAUAAGAAGUAAAGGUUUGGGAAAUAUAGAUUACAAGAAAAAGAGGAAAAAUCAUUAAAAGUAUCCUAAUCUCACCAAUUAGAAACAAACACUGUUAGGUGUUAGUAUAUUUUCCUGACGGAGAAAAUGUAUGAGUAAGACGUAGAGAAAGAGAGAGUGAGAGAGAGAAUAUUUUAUAAAAUUGAAGACAACUGUUAAAAUCAACAAAGCAAUGUAUUUUUAUAUAAAGGAUAGUGAUACUUCUGUAUUUGUUGUAACAAUUUUCCCACUUAGCCAUUUUGCCCAAUACUUAUGUUUUUGUGUUUUUGAGUCUUAAUCAUUAAUUGCUUUGUGUAUUUCAUCAAUUUUUCUUUUUCUUAAUGAUUUCUCCAUUGUUUUUAAACCUAAGUCAUGAGAAAUUUACAUAAAUUAUGUGACUUGAUCAGAGCCAUCCUUCCUCUAAACAUUUACCUUCAGGAUCCCUCUACUCUUUUAAAAAUUACUGACAACUCCAAAGAAUGUGUAUUUAUGUUGGUUAUAUCUGUCAAUAGUUUCUGUGUUAGAAAUUAAAGUCAAGAAUUUUUUUUAAAAUCUCUAUUAAUUCACCCAAAAAUGGCAAUCAUAAGCCCUCCAUAGAAGUUCCUGUCAUGACUCAGCAGUGACCAACAUGGCUAGUAUCCAUGAGGAUGCAGGCUUGAUCCCUGGUUUUGCUCAGUGGGUUAAGAAUCCAGCAUUGGGGUGAGCUGUGGUGUAGGUCCAGAUGCAGCUCAGAUCUGACAUUUGUGUGGCUGUGGUGUAGGCCAGCAGCUGGAGCUCUGAUUCAGCCCAUAGCCAGGGAACUUCCAUAA